AUAAAAUAAAUUUAUAAUGAUAAUAAUAAUAAUAACAAUAAUAAUAUAUUUUACAAUACUAAACAUCUUUAUUUUACAUAAAAUAAAAGAAUUGAAUUACAAUAAAAACAAUGUUUCUGAUUUGGCAUGGAAACACAUCAGUACCCAAUACACCAAUCCAUUCCACCCUGCCAACACUCAACUUCACCUUCAUCUUCUAUUCUACAUCCUUUUAUCUGCUUGACUAUUAUCUGUAUUUACAGCAUUUCCAAAUACAAACAUAUUAAAAACCAGUUAAUUGAUUGAGAUAUACUAAUAAAGGUAUUACUUGUAUAACCUUCCUUUGUAACCUCUACACUCAAAAUCUGUAUUUUGCAACAAACACUACAAAAUCUAGAACCUGAUUUUAUCUAAUAAACAGAAGAAUUCACCACUUUAAUUUACUUUUAGUCUAUAAAUAGAGUUUGAAGUUUUGAAAUGAAGGGGGGAGAGGAGACAAAACACAGAUUUAGAAUUUUGGAAAUAGAGAAAAAGAAUUCGAAAUUUAAAAACAGAGAGUAGAUUUUCUUUUUGGGAGAGAAAUUUGUAAAAAAUAAUACACUGAAGCAGACCUACAGAAACAGAGGAACAAAUAGAAGGAUUAAGAGGUAUUUUCGUUUAUUCAUUUUUUUCAUUUUUCUAAUCAAUCUGUUGAGUUUGAGUUAUGAAUAAAAGAUGAAAUUUGUUUAUUAUUAUUAAUCUGAGUAUAAAAAAUGUUAGAGAUAAUAGGAUUAAAAAAAAACUCAAACCUUGAACGCCGUCGUCGGAAUGCUGACCGUGUUUCCUGGUCACUCCGUUCGUCUGACUCCCCUUUUUCCUCAACGACCUAAUCCAGCGGCCUCACUCCAACGCCGUUCUUAUUUACGGUCUUGAUGGUGAAGUUCGCAUGGCUCUGUUUUUUCUCUUUUGAUCUGCGACCCUCAUUGCCUAGCCGCCGCUCUGGUUUUUGCCUUUGCCUUGUUUCAAUUUAGGGUUUGUUUUACAAAUCACUUUUCUGAAGGUAUUGGGCC
rnacentral:lncRNA from 1 species